GGCCCAUGGAAGUCGGAAUCCGCUAAGGAGUGUGUAACAACUCACCUGCCGAAGCAACUAGCCCUGAAAAUGGAUGGCGCUUAAGCGUUGUGCCUAUACCCGGCCGCCGGUGGCAGAGAGGGGGUGCCUUCGGGUGCUUUCCGCGAAGCCCCGGUGAGUAGGAGGGCCGCGACGGUGAGCGCAGAAGGGUCUGGGCGUGAGCCUGCCUGGAGCCGCCGUCGGUGCAGAUCUUGGUGGUAGUAGCAAAUACUCCAGCGAGGCCCUGGAGGACUGAUGUGGAGAAGGGUUCCGUGUGAACAGCCGUUGCACACGGGUCAGUCGAUCCUAAGCCCUAGGAGAAAUCCGAUGUUGAUGGUCGCGGGAUGUUCCUGCUUAUGUUUGCAAGCGUGCCGCUUUGUCAGGCGAAUGGCCGUAGAUGGUUUCGGUGGAAAGCUUGCCGGUCGGUUCUAAGGUCGCGCUCGUAAGGGAGCAGGAAUGGUGAGUCUUCGAGCUCCCUCCUCGUUCUCCCCCGGAGGCGACCGUUCCGACCAACGGGGGCACACAAACCGAAGACUUGUCGGUCAGUCUGGGCGAGCCUUGGUUCGCGCCUUCUACGGACUAAUUGUUCGUCUAUCUUUCAUCUCGGUCGACGUAUCCGAUGGAUGACCUCUCGCUCUACUUGUAACCUUGCCAUCGAGUUUUGUAGAAGAGUACGCAUCACUAUGCCAGUCGGCGCCGCUUCUCGCGGUCGUCGUCUGGAGAAGCUGUCGUAUUCUCUUCCUGGCUCUCGGGGGGGUUAUGUUGUACUGUUUCGAGCAAGGUUUGUUCUUGACGAUGAAGACCGGGAAAAGCGACGAAAACCGUGCUGGCGGAUCGCGAGGUGUGGCUGAGUAAUGAGGCCCCGCGCAAACUUGAACGACAANCUAGCGAACUAGCACCCCGUCCGUCGGGCGAAAGGGAAUCUGGUUCCUAUUCCAGAACCCGGUUGCGGAACCGCACUCACGAUCCUCGUAUUUACACGGUAACGUGAUAGACCCCAGAGAAGCCGUCUGGAGCCCCGGGAAGAGUUUUCUUUUCUGCCUGAGCGUUCGGGUUCCAUGGAAACCUCUAGCAGGGAGAUAUGGAAUGGAGCGCGAAGAGCACCGCAGUUGCUGCGGUGUCCGGGGAGUCCCGUCGGUCCUUGAAAAUCUGGGUGAGGGUCACGUGGAGGCGCCGCACCGGCUCGUACCCAUAUCCGCAGCAGGUCUCCAAGGUCAAGAGCCUCUAGUCGAUGGAC
rnacentral:rRNA from 1 species